GAUGAAGAACGCAGCGAAAUGCGAUAAGUAAUGUGAAUUGCAGAAUUCAGUGAAUCAUCGAAUCUUUGAACGCACAUUGCGCCCCUUGGUAUUCCGAGGGGCAUGCCUGUUCGAGCGUCAUUAUAACCCUCAAGCUCAGCUUGGUGUUGGGGCCUGCUGCACUGGCAGCCCUUAAAAUCAGUGGCGGCGCCAUCUGGCUCUAAGCGUAGUAAUUCUUCUCGCUAUGGAGUCCUGGUGGAUGCUUGCCAUCAACCCCCAAUUUUUCUAUGGUUGACCUCGGAUCAGGUAGGGAUACCCGCUGAACUUAAGCAUAUAAUAGCGGAGGA
rnacentral:misc_RNA from 1 species